rnacentral:tRNA from 1 species
UCCCCGGUGAUCGAGUGGUUAAGAUGCUGCACUUCCAAUGCCAGGGAUGCAGGUUCAAACCCUGAUCAGGGAA